GUGGUAUUAGUCUGCAAUAGAAAACACUUCACUGAUCUUCAAUCUGUAGCUGAACUACCAGACUGCAAUUCAUCCACAAUUUAUGAUAAGCAUCAUUUUCAAGUUCUCAAUAGCUUGGCCAUCGACUGAUUGGCUCAACCACUUAGAGAUGAAGCAGACGUGGGUCAUAAAUGGCUUAGCCGUCUAUCAAGUCUCAUUCUCCUCCGACAAACUCCAAAAUCAUUAUUAAGGAUAAAGAGAGGACAGAACAAGCUCAGAUGGCUGAGAACGCAAUUCAAUGACUGUCCAGGAAAUUCCUGGAUAGAUUACGCUUCGCCUUGAGAGAUACCUUGGAACUUUACAUCAGGAAAGAUGAGAAGAAAUUUCAGAGGCCAACCUCAAAGGGAGUGAAACAAUGCAUAAAAACUGGACCAUCUCCUGUGAGUUGGAGGAGAUUGUGGAGAUAAUCUGAGAGAAUACUGGUCUCCAUAUUACAUUCUGGAUCAGUGGUGCUGGAAGAGCACAGAAGUUCAGGCAGCAUCCGAGGAGCAGCGAA